GACGUGGCGCAGUUUGGUAGCGCGCCUGCUUUGGGAGCAGGAUGUCGCAGGUUCGAAUCCUGUCUUCC
rnacentral:tRNA from 1 species